GAGGGUAUAGCUCAGUGGUAGAGUGCAUGCUUAGCAUGCAUGAGGUCCUGGGUUCAAUCCCCAGGACCUCUA
rnacentral:tRNA from 1 species